GACGAACGCUGGCGGCGUGCUUAACACAUGCAAGUCGAACGGAAAGGCCCUGCUUUUGUGGGGUGCUCGAGUGGCGAACGGGUGAGUAACACGUGAGUAACCUGCCCUUGACUUUGGGAUAACUUCAGGAAACUGGGGCUAAUACCGGAUAGGAGCUCCUGCUGCAUGGUGGGGGUUGGAAAGUUUCGGCGGUUGGGGAUGGACUCGCGGCUUAUCAGCUUGUUGGUGGGGUAGUGGCUUACCAAGGCUUUGACGGGUAGCCGGCCUGAGAGGGGGACCGGCCACAUUGCGACUGCGAUACGGCCCAGACUCCUACGGGAGGCAGCAGUCGGGAAUAUUGCACAAUGGGCGGAAGCCUGAUGCAGCAACGCCGCGUGCGGGAUGACGUCCUUCGGGUUGUAAACCGCUUUCGCCUGUGACGAAGCGUGAGUGACGGUAAUGGGUAAAGAAGCACCGGCUAACUACGUG
rnacentral:rRNA from 1 species